GCCAGACUCCUACGGGAGGCAGCAGUGAGGAAUAUUGGUCAAUGGGCGCGAGCCUGAACCAGCCAAGUAGCGUGAAGGAUGACUGCCCUACGGGUUGUAAACUUCUUUUAUAAAGGAAUAAAGUGAGGCACGUGUGCCUUUUUGUAUGUACUUUAUGAAUAAGGAUCGGCUAACUCCGUGCCAGCAGCCGCGGUAAUACGGAGGAUCCGAGCGUUAUCCGGAUUUAUUGGGUUUAAAGGGUGCGCAGGCGGUCUGUUAAGUCGGCGGUCAAAGCCCGGGGCUCAACCCCGGCCUGCCGUUGAAACUGGCGGCCUCGAGUGGGCGAGAAGUAUGCGGAAUGCGUGGUGUAGCGGUGAAAUGCAUAGAUAUCACGCAGAACUCCGAUUGCGAAGGCAGCAUACCGGCGCCCUACUGACGCUGAGGCACGAAAGCGUGGGUAUCGAGCAGGAUUAGAUACCCGCGUAACG
rnacentral:rRNA from 1 species